CUGGCUCAGGAUGAACGCUAGCGACAGGCUUAACACAUGCAAGUCGAGGGGCAGCACGGGAGUAGCAAUACAACGUGGUGGCGACCGGCGCACGGGUGAGUAACGCGUAUGCAACCUACCUAUCAGAGGGGGAAUAACCCGGCGAAAGUCGGACUAAUACCGCAUAAAACAGGGGCACCGCAUGGUGAUAUUUGUUAAAGAGAUUCGACUGAUAGAUGGGCAUGCGUUCCAUUAGGUAGUUGGUGAGGUAACGGCUCACCAAGCCGACGAUGGAUAGGGGAACUGAGAGGUUGGUCCCCCACACUGGUACUGAGACACGGACCAGACUCCGUACGGGAGGCAGCAGUGAGGAAUAUUGGUCAAUGGGCGGGAGCCUGAACCAGCCAAGGUCGCGUGAAAAGGAAGAAGGAUCUAUGGUUCGUAAACUUCUUUUGCAGGGGGAAUAAAGUGCAGGACGUGCCCUGUUUUGUAUGUACCCUGAGAAUAAGGAUCGGCUAACUCCGUGCCAGCAGCCGC
rnacentral:rRNA from 1 species